GACGAACGCUGGAGGCGUGCUUAACACAUGCAAGUCGAACGAUGAAAUGGAGCUUGCUCCAUGGAUUAGUGGCGAACGGGUGAGUAACACGUGAAUAACCUGCCCUUAAUUUUGGAAUAACCCAGGGAAACCUGGGCUAAUACCGGAUAAGUAAACCUGUGGCAUCACAUGGUCUUGGAAAGUUUUUCGAUUAAGGAUGGAUUCGCGGCCUAUCAGCUUGUUGGUGAGGUAAUGGCUCACCAAGGCGACGACGGGUAGCCGGCCUGAGAGGGUGAACGGCCACACUGGGACUGAGACACGGCCCAGACUCCUACGGGAGGCAGCAGUGGGGAAUAUUGCGCAAUGGACGAAAGUCUGACGCAGCGACGCCUCGUGAGGGACGAAGGUCUUCGGAUUGUAAACCUCUUUCAGCAGGGACGAAGCGAAAGUGACGGUACCUGCAGAAGAAGCACCGGCUAACUAUGUGCCAGCAGCCGCAGUAA
rnacentral:rRNA from 1 species